rnacentral:rRNA from 1 species
AAAAAAGGUAAGCUACUAAGAGCGAAUGGUGGAUGCCUUGACUGGUAAAGGCGAUGAAGGACGUACUAGACUGCGAUAAGCUACGGGGAGCUGUCAAGAAGCUUUGAUCCGUAGAUUUCCGAAUGGGGCAACCCAAUGUAUAGAGAUAUACAUUACCUAUAUAGGAGCGAACGAGGGGAAUUGAAACAUCUUAGUACCCUCAGGAAAAGAAAUCAAUAGAGAUUGCGUCAGUAGCGGCGAGCGAAAGCGCAAGAGGGCAAACCCAGUGCUUGCACUGGGGGUUGUAGGACUGCAAUGUGCAAGAGGUGAGUUUAGCAGAACAUUCUGGAAAGUAUAGCCAUAGAGGGUGAUAGUCCCGUAUGCGAAAAACAAACCUUAGCUAGCAGUAUCCUGAGUAGGGCGGGACACGAGAAAUCCUGUCUGAAGCUGGGUCGACCACGAUCCAACCCUAAAUACUAAUACCAGAUCGAUAGUGCACAAGUACCGUGAGGGAAAGGUGAAAAGAACUGAGGUGAUCAGAGUGAAAUAGAACCUGAAACCAUUUGCUUACAAUCAUUCAGAGCCCUAUGUAGCAAUACAGGGUGAUGGACUGCCUUUUGCAUAAUGAGCCUGCGAGUUGUGGUGUCUGGCAAGGUUAAGCAAACGCGAAGCCGUAGCGAAAGCGAGUCUGAAUAGGGCGCUUAGUCAGAUGCUGCAGACCCGAAACGAAGUGAUCUAUCCAUGAGCAAGUUGAAGCUAGUGUAAGAACUAGUGGAGGACUGAACCCAUAGGCGUUGAAAAGCCCCGGGAUGACUUGUGGAUAGGGGUGAAAGGCCAAUCAAACUUCGUGAUAGCUGGUUCUCUCCGAAAUAUAUUUAGGUAUAGCGUUGUGUCGUAAUAUAAGGGGGUAGAGCACUGAAUGGGCUAGGGCAUACACCAAUGUACCAAACCCUAUCAAACUCCGAAUACCUUAUAUGUAAUCACAGCAGUCAGGCGGCGAGUGAUAAAAUCCGUCGUCAAGAGGGAAACAACCCAGACUACCAGCUAAGGUCCCUAAAUCUUACUUAAGUGGAAAACGAUGUGAAGUUACUUAAACAACCAGGAGGUUGGCUUAGAAGCAGCCAUCCUUUAAAGAAAGCGUAAUAGCUCACUGGUCUAGUGAUUUUGCGCGGAAAAUAUAACGGGGCUAAAGUAAGUACCGAAGCUGUAGACUUGCGCACAACUUAGAUUAUUUAAGUUUAGAAUAUGAGAAACUAAGUUAUAUGUUUAGUUAUAUUUUUACUGAUUUUUAUAGAGUAAAGAUAGAAAUAAAACUUAGUAAAAUCAGUAAAAAUAUUCUUAGACUAAAGUUAAGUAGUUUAAGUUGUGUGCAAGUGGUAGGAGAGCGUUCUAUUUGCGUCGAAGGUAUACCGGUAAGGAGUGCUGGAGCGAAUAGAAGUGAGCAUGCAGGCAUGAGUAGCGAUAAUUAAUGUGAGAAUCAUUAACGCCGUAAACCCAAGGUUUCCUACGCGAUGCUCGUCAUCGUAGGGUUAGUCGGGUCCUAAGUCGAGUCCGAAAGGGGUAGACGAUGGCAAAUUGGUUAAUAUUCCAAUACCAACAUUAGUGUGCGAUGGAAGGACGCUUAGGGCUAAGGGGGCUAGCGGAUGGAAGUGCUAGUCUAAGGUCGUAGGAGGUUAUACAGGCAAAUCCGUAUAACAAUACUCCGAGAACUGAAAGGCUUUUUGAAGUCUUCGGAUGGAUAGAAGAACCCCUGAUGCCGUCGAGCCAAGAAAAGUUUCUAAGUUUAGCUAAUGUUGCCCGUACCGUAAACCGACACAGGUGGGUGGGAUGAGUAUUCUAAGGCGCGUGGAAGAACUCUCUUUAAGGAACUCUGCAAAAUAGCACCGUAUCUUCGGUAUAAGGUGUGGUUAGCUUUGUAUUAGGAUUUACUCCGAAAGCGAAGAAACUUACAACAAAGAGUCCCUCCCGACUGUUUACCAAAAACACAGCACUCUGCUAACUCGUAAGAGGAUGUAUAGGGUGUGACGCCUGCCCGGUGCUCGAAGGUUAAUUGAUGGGGUUAGCAUUAGCGAAGCUCUUGAUCGAAGCCCGAGUAAACGGCGGCCGUAACUAUAACGGUCCUAAGGUAGCGAAAUUCCUUGUCGGUUAAAUACCGACCUGCAUGAAUGGCGUAACGAGAUGGGAGCUGUCUCAAAGAGGGAUCCAGUGAAAUUGUAGUGGAGGUGAAAAUUCCUCCUACCCGCGGCAAGACGGAAAGACCCCGUGGACCUUUACUACAGCUUGACACUGCUAUUUGGAUAAGAAUGUGCAGGAUAGGUGGGAGGCUUUGAGUAUAUGACGCCAGUUGUAUAUGAGCCAUUGUUGAGAUACCACUCUUUCUUAUUUGGGUAGCUAACCAGCUUGAGUUAUCC